rnacentral:rRNA from 1 species
CGUGCAGGCGGUUCGUUAAGUCUGAUGUGAAAGCCCGGGCUCAACCCGGGAAGUGCAUUGGAAACUGGCGAACUUGAGUAUGGGAGAGGGAAGUGGAAUUCCGAGUGUAGGGGUGAAAUCCGUAGAUAUUCGGAGGAACACCAGUGGCGAAGGCGGCUUCCUGGACCAAUACUGACGCUGAGACGCGAAAGCGUGGGGAGCAAACA